CAUAUCCGGCAAACUGGAAAAUGCCGAAGUUCGACAAGUUCUCGGGCGAUGAGACCAGUUAAUAUAUAAAGGCAUUCGGCUCUUUAAGCCGACCAAUCAUUGUGUAUUCUAUAUAUUCGGCUCAUCAGCCGACCAAUUACUGUAUAUUUCAUCUAUUCGGCUCUUUCAACAGAACCGAGUCUACAGUAAAAGUUUUCGAACUCGGCUGAUCCGAUCCAUCGUCAGCCGAAUCGCUUGAUCUAAUCGAAUGGCGCAAAUUUCGAGGGUCACUAUCCGACGCCGUUUCGCAUCCCUACACGCUCCCCGAGGAAGAUCUUUGACCAAGUCAAAGAUAAAGGAUUUCGGCUACCAACAAGAUGAAUACAAC
rnacentral:lncRNA from 1 species